CCUACGGGAGGCAGCAGUAGGGAAUUUUCGGCAAUGGGGGGAACCCUGACCGAGCAACGCCGCGUGAACGAAGAAGUUAUUCGUAAUGUAAAGUUCUUUUAACAGGGAAGAAAGAGAAAUUUGACGGUACCUGAAGAAUAAGCUCCGGCUAACUACGUGCCAGCAGCCGCGGUAAUACGUAGGGAGCGAGCGUUAUCCGGAAUUAUUGGGCGAAAAGGGUGCGUAGAUGGCAUAGUAAGUCUUUUGUAAAAAUGCUGGGCUCAACCCAGUAGGGCAAAAGAUACUGCAAAGCUAGAGUAUGACAGAGGAAAGUGAAACUACAGGUGUAGCGGUAAAAUGCGUAAAUAUAUGUAAGAACACCAGGGGCGAGGGCGGCUUGCUGGUUCAAUACUGACAUUGAGGCACGAAAGCGUGGGGAGCAAACAGGAUUAGAUACCCGUGUAGUC
rnacentral:rRNA from 1 species